CUAGAGCGAGCACCUCGAGUAGUUCAUCAUCUCAGUUAGCUGAUCUUGCUUAAGAGUAGAGAGACUUCAUGGCCUUCUCAGAUCGAAACUUGAGCUGAUCCAGAUUGAUAUUAGGAACUCGAGGGAUUUCAUCUGAUCUUAAGCGGCUCAGAGAUUCAAUGAGAGCUGCAUUAUCUUAGCUAGAUGCCAUUAGGACCCAGCUCCAAUCCAGACCCUCUGUAUCCACUGAGCCUACCCUUAUUCAGCCUAUUGCGUUCCAUCCCCCGACCUCUUCUACUCAGACUAGAUCAUCCAGUCGAGGCUGAGGUAGAUGUGGUCAUGACUCUACUUUAGAGUCAUUCUCUCAUUUUGUUCCUUCUAAUCACGAGCCUGAUGCCUAAUCUCCCUGAUCAUGAUUUUACUAUUUUGUAUUAGCUGCUUUAGGUCUCAUACUACUUGGUUAUUAUAUUUUGUACUUGGUUAUUGUAUUUUGUACUUGGUUAUUAUAUGAGAACCUUAUGGUUAUAGAUAUGUAUGGCAAUGACUUGAUCAUGUACUUGACUUUUGUAACCUUCUAUUUUGUUGUAUUUAAAUGAGAUUAUCUAUUAUCA
rnacentral:lncRNA from 1 species